GACGAACGCUGGCGGCGUGCUUAACACAUGCAAGUCGAACGGAAAGGCCCUGCUUUUGUGGGGUGCUCGAGUGGCGAACGGGUGAGUAACACGUGAGUAACCUGCCCUUGACUUUGGGAUAACUUCAGGAAACUGGGGCUAAUACCGGAUAGGAGCUCCUGCUGCAUGGUGGGGGUUGGACAGUUUCGGCGGUUGGGGAUGGACUGGCGGCUUAUCAGCUUGUUGGUUGGGUAGUGGCUUACCAAGGCUUUGACGGGUAGCCGGCCUGAGAGGGUGACCGGCCACAUUGGGACUGAGGUACGGCCCAGAGGGCUACGGGAGGCAGCAGUGGGGAAUAUUGCACAAUGGGCGGAAGCCUGAUGCAGCAACGCCGCGUGCGGGAUGACGGCCUUCGGGUUGUAAACCGCUUUCGCCUGUGACGAAGCGUGAGUGACGGUAAUGGGUAAAGAAGCACCGGCUAACUACGUG
rnacentral:rRNA from 1 species